CCUGCGGAAGGAUCAUUAAAGAGUAAGGGUGCUCAGCGCCCGACCUCCAACCCUUUGUUGUUAAAACUACCUUGUUGCUUUGGCGGGACCGCUCGGUUCCGAGCCGCUGGGGAUUCGUCCCAGGCGAGCGCCCGCCAGAGUUAAACCAAACUCUUGUUAUUAAACCGGUCGUCUGAGUUAAAAUUUUGAAUAAAUCAAAACUUUCAACAACGGAUCUCUUGGUUCUCGCAUCGAUGAAGAACGCAGCGAAAUGCGAUAAGUAAUGUGAAUUGCAGAAUUCAGUGAAUCAUCGAAUCUUUGAACGCACAUUGCGCCCCUUGGUAUUCCGAGGGGCAUGCCUGUUCGAGCGUCAUUACACCACUCAAGCUAUGCUUGGUAUUGGGUGCCGUCCUUAGUUGGGCGCGCCUUAAAGACCUCGGCGAGGCCACUCCGGCUUUAGGCGUAGUAGAAUUUAUUCGAACGUCUGUCAAAGGAGAGGAACUCUGCCGAUUGAAACCUUUAUUUUUCUAGGUUGACC
rnacentral:rRNA from 1 species